GGAUGAACACAGGAAAGGAAACAAGGAGAUCAGUUCAGGGAGCAGAACUCCAGUGCCCUCAGAACUCCAUCCAGGGUGCCUGCUUCAUUGUUCUGAGCUUCUCUAAUAGCGUAGAAUCUUUCCUGUGCGAGCCCGAAGGUUAUCAGCCCAGGCAGAAAGGGAGGGUGACAGGAUGAGGAAGACGCUGGAGAAAUGUCAGAGAGCCUGGGGACACUACGCCUGGACAAGAGUGAGCUGGACCUCCUCCACGGCACCACAAGGCUCCCUGGUUUGGGCUUUCACUUGGAUUUGGCCAAGGGGAGACACACGCAGGACACCGGAAUGCAGGAGACUGAGUCCACCGAUGGCGAAUAUGGACACAGUCACAGACCAGAGCAGAGUCAGAGUAUCCGGGUCUAUUGGAUGUCCAUGCCUUCUUUGCCAUGAUUCAUUGUAAAAGGCCUUGAUGUACUGGAAAU